rnacentral:lncRNA from 10 species
GCCAGGUGACAGCAGAGCAGCUCAGCACAAGGGCCGAGGCUGGCUGCAGCUCUGACGGGCAUGUUCUGGACUUCAGCAAGUAUGGAACCUCCCUGUGCCUCAGUUUAUACACUUGUAAAUGGGUGGAUAAUAAUGGCACUGUCAAUCAGGAAUCCAGACUCAGAAAGGCACAAACUCCUGGCCACAACCCCUGCUGCAGACGGAGGGAGUCUGGGGCCCCAGGAGGAUCCGGAUGCUGGUGCUGUCGGCUGUGGAGAGAAAAGACAUGCUUGAGGAGAACUGUGCCCUGUCUAUGGCUCAGCCUUCCAGGGUAUCUAAUUCUGGUUCUAAGGGAACUGUUUCACAACUUGCUAAGGUGCAGACAACUGACAGCAAUGCAGAGAGAUGACUCCAUUGCAGCCAGGUGAGCUCAGUCCUGUGGAGGCUCUGCUGGCUACCUCCUCACGG